rnacentral:misc_RNA from 1 species
GAUGAAGAACGCAGCGAAACGCGAUAUGUAAUGUGAAUUGCAGAAUUCAGUGAAUCAUCGAAUCUUUGAACGCACAUGGCGCCUUCCAGUAUCCUGGGAGGCAUGCCUGUCCGAGCGUCGUUUCAACCCUCGAGCCCUCGUGGCCCGGCGUUGGGGAUCUGCCACGGCAGGCCCGAAAUACAGUGGCGGACCCGUUAGGCCCUUCCUUUGCGUAGUAGCAUCAGCCUCGCAUCGGGAGCCGGCGGGCUCUCCUGCCUCUAAACCCCCCAACAAGCCCGCUCCGGCGGCACCAAGGUUGACCUCGGAUCAGGUAGGAAUACCCGCUGAACUUAAGCAUAUCAAUAAGCGGAGGA